CUUGCUGUCGGAACACAGUCCGUCCGGCCCCUCCGCUUUUGCCAGCCCGACUCGGGGGCUCUGCUUGGCCAGCGAGCCGCCCCUCCGCCCCGGCUCCCUCCCGCCAGUCCGUGGAGCGCGCACCGCCUCGCCGCCCUUCCUACCCUCUUCCGUGGGCCUCUCGUCUGCGCUUGGCUCCGGAGACUCCGUUCUGCUAAUCCUCUGGCGGUUUUCUGGGUUCUUUAGGCAGGUGUAGGUGGAAUCUAAGUGAUCAGCAGGAUGUGGUGAGCCCAGCGUCCUCCUACGCCGCCAUCUUCCGACCAUAGUGUUCUGAAAGGAUGAUCUUAAGGGAGCUGAGAACCUUUGGUGUCUGACCAGCAUAAAAAGUGCAGAGCUCCAUUUAUGUUGCUACACUAGAAAAGAAUAGUGAUUCUUGGAAGAUUGGGUCAGGACUGGAGAGAGGAGAGGACCCCAAUUUUGACAGGGAGAGAGAGCGUGAGCAGGGGAGGAGCAGAGAGAGAGGGAGACACAGAAUCCGAAGCAGGCUCCCCGAGCCUGACACGGGGGGCUUGAAUUCACAAACCCCAAGAUCGUGACCUGAGCCCAAGUCAGACGCCCAACUGACUGAGCCACCAAGGAGCCCCAAAAGGCUUAUUCUUAUUUGAAGGCUUGGAUACGAUGUUCUUCAUUCCUAAAUCAGCCAAGAAGAAUGUAACAAGAGAGGGCACGGAGAAAGGUAAGAGAAUAUUUGGCUCAUUACUCACAAAGUAGAUUACACAACAUUAAUCUACCCCUGCAC